rnacentral:lncRNA from 1 species
ACAGCAGCCGCUGCUGGAGCCAUGCGAAGUGAGCUCUGCGAGCUCUCAGGUUUCCCAAAGCACUGCAAGGGUUGCCAGUAACCGAUCUGAGUUCCCCUGCCAGCUCCUCGUUCCCCAAGGCAUCGGGAUCCCCUCCCAAGCUGAGGAGGAGCAGCCCUUGCCCGGGCUGUCCCCAUCUGCCACCACAGUGCAGCGAGGCCCAGCCACGCUCCCCUGCCCCUGCAGUCCCUGCUCGUGGGCUGUGCGGGGCUGGCAGAAACGUGCCCUGCCCCUGGCACGGGGUGCGGGGCUGCCAAACGCUGCUCCCUGCCUCACGGGGUGCGCAGCCAUCUUGUGGGUGCGUGUGUUUACCCUCGGCUGUACAACCACUUCCUGCAUGCACACACAGCAGGCAGCACGCACACACCGGGUGUGUUAGCGACCCUCAUCAUGACCAUCAUAGGCCUUGUUACCGCCAGGGGGGGAGCACGGGAGACUUUGGCAAACCUUGCUCAAAAUCCUUUAUUCUUCUUUCAGGCUUCCCCUCGGAGUGAGCUCAAAAUGGAAGACGCUAAGAUAGAAGGACCCAAGCUGAACAUCCUGCUCGUGGGCAAAACUGGAAAUGGGAAGAGUGCGACAGGGAACACCAUCCUUGGGAAGAAAGCAUUUGAAGAUAUGAUGGGAGCAUAUACAGUAACCCAAAGCUACAGUGCAGAGAGUGCCUCAUUCUG